CAAGAAAACAAGAAUUGCUUCCUGUUAAAAGCUGCUUGAGCCAUUCUACACUUCUCUUUUCAAAGGUCUUCAGAAGUGCGCGUAGAUUGCUAAAGAUUGUCUUCACUAUCAACAACACCCUAAAUUGGCAUCGAUUCAGGGGAAGCAUAACAACUAAAAUGGGGAAGUUCUUGCUUCCCAUCACAAGACUGGCUCGUUUAUUUGAGGAGAGACCAAAGCCCGGAAAGGAAGCUUCUCCAAAUAAAACAACCGAGGGUUCAGCUGCUGUGAAAGGAAGGAAAGAAGAAAGGAAGGAGGAGAAAGACACAAGAAAUAUAAACGAAUAAACCUGAACUGGUUGAUAAACAGGGGGAGAAAGAGCAAAACUCAGAUGGAGAAAGGAUGGAAAGAAGAGACAACAGACAGAGAGAGACACAGAGACACAGAGAGAGACACAGAGACACAGAGAGAGGGGAUAUCGAGGGACUUUUGUGUCACUGUGUGUGAAUGUGCUUAUUGAGAGGGAUGAGUCAGUAGAAAGGGAAACAAUGAAAAUGCAGAGUCACAGCACCCCUUUUAUUCAGAUCUUAUAUUCUGUUGCUUUCACCCUCCCCAACUUUCUUUUCUGCUGUUUUAAAAGCUUUACUCACCACAGUUUAAAGUGUGCUUUUUUAAAUUUUAAUUGCAGUAUGUUCAGUCUUGUCUGAUCUUUGUUAAUCAGUGAGAGCAAGCUGCACAGCUUGUUUGGAUCCCUUCCAGGUUAUAUCUUCUUUUUUUGUCACUAAAUUGGAAUUUAUGUCAAGUUUAACCCUGUAAAACCUGAACCAUAAAUUCAUAUUUUUUUAAACCAGUCUUUACUGUACCAUAUAAUAGAUUUACUACAUUAGAUUGUACAUUUAUUUUCACAAUUUGUUUCAUUUAUGCUACUGAGGAUGAGGAUCACACUGCUGAUUUAGAGGUUUCAACAACUCACGUAUCAGAUAUGAUACAUUUGGCGUUACAGGGUCAAUUACAAAUCCUUUGGCAUAAAUAUCCUGGUUCCAUGUGUAACUUUCCAAUCUGCUUUUAAAUCAUUGGUAAAAAUGAGUCGGCUGUUUUCAGAUUUAGAUUAGCCAGAUUAUAUUCUCUAUGUGGGAUUAAACAGGAGUUUUUAUGGAAAGCAAAUACUUAAAACAUUUGAUUAUUAAAGUAAUCAAUACCUUAUAUGAUGCAGUUUAUCAUUACUUUUGUUCAACACAACCCAGUUAUUCAUUUUUUGUAGAUGGAAAGGGAAAGUGUUUGAGGCAGCAAUGCACUCAGUGAAAGGGACAAUAACAGUGGGUGCUUUGUUCAUGGAGGUAACAUCUACUGUCACCAGUAUCACG